rnacentral:rRNA from 1 species
GUUAAGCGACUAAGCGUACACGGUGGAUGCCCUGGCAGUCAGAGGCGAUGAAGGACGUGCUAAUCUGCGAUAAGCGUCGGUAAGGUGAUAUGAACCGUUAUAACCGGCGAUUUCCGAAUGGGGAAACCCAGUGUGAUUCGUCACACUAUCAUUAACUGAAUCCAUAGGUUAAUGAGGCGAACCGGGGGAACUGAAACAUCUAAGUACCCCGAGGAAAAGAAAUCAACCGAGAUUCCCCCAGUAGCGGCGAGCGAACGGGGAGCAGCCCAGAGCCUGAAUCAGUGUGUGUGUUAGUGGAAGCGUCUGGAAAGGCGCGCGAUACAGGGUGACAGCCCCGUACACAAAAAUGCACAUGCUGUGAGCUCGAUGAGUAGGGCGGGACACGUGGUAUCCUGUCUGAAUAUGGGGGGACCAUCCUCCAAGGCUAAAUACUCCUGACUGACCGAUAGUGAACCAGUACCGUGAGGGAAAGGCGAAAAGAACCCCGGCGAGGGGAGUGAAAAAGAACCUGAAACCGUGUACGUACAAGCAGUGGGAGCACGCUUAGGCGUGUGACUGCGUACCUUUUGUAUAAUGGGUCAGCGACUUAUAUUCUGUAGCAAGGUUAACCGAAUAGGGGAGCCGAAGGGAAACCGAGUCUUAACUGGGCGUUAAGUUGCAGGGUAUAGACCCGAAACCCGGUGAUCUAGCCAUGGGCAGGUUGAAGGUUGGGUAACACUAACUGGAGGACCGAACCGACUAAUGUUGAAAAAUUAGCGGAUGACUUGUGGCUGGGGGUGAAAGGCCAAUCAAACCGGGAGAUAGCUGGUUCUCCCCG